AGAGUGGGUAGUCCGCACGAGCGCACCCUAUCCUUAGUUGCCAGCACAUUAUGGUGGGGACUCUAAGGAGACUGCCUGGGAUAACCAGGAGGAAGGUGGGGAUGAUGUCAAGUCAGUAUGUCCCUUAUGUCCAGGGCUACACACGUGUUACAAUGGUUGGUACAGAGGGCAGCUAAGCCGCAAGGUGGAGCCAAUCCCCCAAAACCAACCCCAGUUCGGAUUGGAGUCUGCAACUCGACUCCAUGAAGCAGGAAUCGCUAGUAAUCGUGGAUCAGAACGCCACGGUGAAUACGUUCCCGGGUCUUGUACACACCGCCCGUCACGCCAUGGAAGUCAGUAGUACCCGAAUCGGGUGGCCCAACCUUAGGGAGGGAGCUCGUUAAGGUAAGACUGGUAACUGGGGCGAAGUCGUAACAAGGUAGCCGUACCGGAAGGUGCGGCUGGAUCACCUCCUUUU
rnacentral:rRNA from 1 species